AGUGAACGCUGGCGGCAGGCCUAACACAUGCAAGUCGAGCGGUACAGUUUGAAGCUUCGGUGGAGAGCUGUAUAGCGGCGGACGGGUGAGUAAAGCGUAGGAACGUGCCCCUCGGAGUUGGAUAGCCAUGGGAAACUGUGGGUAAACCGACAUAGACUCGGGAGAGUAAAGGCCGAAAGGCGCCGAGGGAGCGGUCUGCGUCCCAUCAGGUAGUUGGUAGGGUAAAGGCCUACCAAGCCGACGACGGGUAACCGGUCUGAGAGGAUGGCCGGUCACAAGGGCACUGAGAGACGGGCCCUACUCCUACGGGAGGCAGCAGUGGGGGAUUUUGGACAAUGGGCGAAAGCCUGAUCCAGCGACGCCGCGUGGAGGACGAAGCCCUUCGGGGUGUAAACUGCUGUCGUGUAGGGAGAAGGGUACUAAGGUGAACAAUCUUAGUACUUGACGGUACUACAGGAGGAAGCCAGGCUAACCUCGUG
rnacentral:rRNA from 1 species